rnacentral:rRNA from 1 species
CAAACCAAAGCUGGCGACCGGCGCACGGGUGAGUAACACGUAUCCAACCUGCCUCAUACUCGGGGAUAGCCUUUCGAAAGAAAGAUUAAUAUCCGAUAGCAUAUAUUUCCCGCAUGGGUUUUAUAUUAAAGAAAUUCGGUAUGAGAUGGGGAUGCGUUCCAUUAGUUUGUUGGGGGGGUAACGGCCCACCAAGACACGAUGGAUAGGGGUUCUGAGAGGAAGGUCCCCCACAUUGGAACUGAGACACGGUCCAA